AGCAGCUUUCACACACAGACGAUCACAUACAUUUCCUGCAGAGUCUUCAGUCUCUCUCAGCUCCUCCUGAAUCUACAGAAAACAUCUCUGUCAGUUUCCUCUUUUCUUUUGAUGGUGUGAGAGAAUCUGUCUGUCAGCUGAGACACAAACUGGAGGAUUUCUGCAAAGAGGAGAUGAAAAAGAUAUCUGUCACUCACAGUAACAUUGUUCCCAGGACCAGAGAGGACUUCCUACAAUGUAAGCCACUAACAAACACAAUGAC